AUUCCAUGACGAUGACACCUCCAUAGAAGCUCCUUGAAUCUUUCCCAUGCGUCCGAAAUGGCUUCAUCCUCAUCUUGAUGAAACGUCUAAUUUCAUUUCUAAUAUU